GGGGCGACCCGCUCUGGGAGGGAGCCCCAGGCAUUCCCGAUUACGCUGCGACCUCUAAAGGCAAUGGGACAGAGGGUUAGACGUUAGCAGGGCUGGGUGCCCGGGGUUAGGGUUUUGGCCACGUUGCCGCUCAAGGUGCCCAGCCCUGGGGCCCCAGGGUUGAGUUUGACCGACCUGGACGCCAGGCUCUGUGCGGAGUUCCUCCUUUCGUUCAAGUAUUGACCGAGCGCCUAUUUCUAUUUUAUGUAUUUAUUUUCUGAGACUGAGUCUUGCUCUGUCACCCAGCCCGGAGUGCAGUGGCGCGAUCUCGGCUCACUGCAACCUCCGCCUCCCUGCAACCUCCGCCUCCCGGGUUCAAUCCAUUCUCCUCUCUAAGCCUCCCGCGUAGCUAAGAUUACAGGCGUCCGCCCCCGCGCCCGGCUAAUUUUUGUAUUUUUAGUAGAGACGGGGUUUCACCAUGUUGGCCAGGUAGGUCUCGAACUCCUGACCUCGUGAGCCACCCGCCUCGGCCUCGCAAAGUUCUGGGAUUACAGGCGUGAGCCACUGCGCCCGGCGUAGGCCAGUUUCUAUACUGUGGAACAUUAAGUGGACUUGUCUGCUUUUCCAAACUUUGGCGCCACUAGCAAGGUGCAGAGGCUUUGUGGUAAAGGAAGAGAAAGAAGGCAGAAAGUUGGGGAAAAAUAUGAUGGGAAUGUGUAGAAAGAAGGUCGGAAGGCAGUACAGAAGACAGUACAGAGUUGGGGGGGGGGGGAUCAUAUGUUCCCAAAGCUUAUUGGUGCAACUGGAAUCAAUCUGCACACUUCAACCUCUUGUCAAGACUGUGAUGGAGUCGGAGGUAUUUGCCCCGGUAUUUCCAAUCUGUGGUUGGUUGAAUCUGUGGACAUGGAACC
rnacentral:lncRNA from 1 species